GACGGAGGAUGCAAGCGUUAUCCGGAAUGAUUGGGCGUAAAGCGUCCGCAGGUGGCAGUUCAAGUCUGCUGUCAAAGACCGGGGCUUAACUUCGGAAAGGCAGUGGAAACUGAACAGCUAGAGUAUGGUAGGGGCAGAGGGAAUUCCUGGUGUAGCGGUGAAAUGCGCAGAUAUCGGGAGGAACACCGGUGGCGAAGGCGGGUCUCUGGGCAAUUCCUGACGCUGAGGCGCGAAAGCGUGGGGAGCAAACGGG
rnacentral:rRNA from 1 species